rnacentral:ncRNA from 1 species
CGGAUGAAAGUGGGGGAUCCGCAAGGACCUCAUGCUCGUGGAGCGGCCGAUAUCUGAUUAGCUAGUUGGUAGGGUAAAAGCCUACCAAGGCAUCGAUCAGUAGCUGGUCUGAGAGGACGACCAGCCACACUGGAACUGAGACAAGGUCCAGACUCCUACGGGAGGCAGCAGUGGGGAAUUUUGGACAAUGGGGGCAACCCUGAUCCAGCAAUUGCCGCGUGAGUGAAGAAGGCCUUCGCGUUGUAAAGCUCUUUUGUCGGGGAAGAAACGGUGA